AAAUACCCCACUUCUUUUGUAGCAUUUAAAAAUGUACACUCUGAACCUAACCACCUGGGCUUCGUUCCAGAUUUGCACAUUCUAGCUGUGUGAACAAGGACAAUUUGCAUAACCUCCUCAUGCAGCAGCUUUCUCAUCAGCACGUUGAGGAUAAUGGCAUCUGCAGCACAUCACAAAAUGUCUAUCAAUUCCCCACCCCAACAUGACUUUCAAGAUUCUUCCAUCAGCACGUGGAAUAAAUAUACUCACCUGUUAAACCUGGACUAUCCUUGUGAUUUGCUCUGAACAAUAGAAUAACAUGUUUCCACUAUCUCUUUAGCAAUUUGACUCUUUUGCUGUCACGUGAAUAAACUUGAGCUAGCCUGCUGGAAGAUAAAGUGACCAUAGAGACUAGAGACAAGCCUUCCAAGCUGAAGCCAUUAUAAACCAACUAACCUGAGAGCUGACUGCAGAUGUAUGAGUGAGCCCAGCCAAGGCCAGAAGACUCACCAGCUAUAUUUUGCCAAAUUUGUAACAUAAAGAAUUGUGAGGCAAAUAAAUUACUAUUAUAUUAAGCCAC